ACUCAUGUCCCAUUCCAUCUGCCAUACCUCACUGUCAUGAGUAGAGAGCAUUGCAACCUUCUCCACCGAGAGCCUUCCAUCAGAGUCUGGAUUUGAUCCAACAUGCCAUAAUGCAAUUUCCUUGCAAGUGGCAACUGCUAUUAAUUCAUACGGCCUUCCAAUAUUUGGUGCCCAUGCAACAGUAGAGACUGGAUCAGCUUUAUCUGCAGGUAAAGCUAAUUCUGCAACUGGAAGCCAUCUCUGAUGAUCCUGAUCGAAUUCCCAAACCUGUGGAA
rnacentral:misc_RNA from 1 species